GCGCCCGUAGCUCAGUGGAUAGAGCGCCCGCCUCCGGAGCGGGAGGUCGCAGGUUCAAAUCCUGCCGGGCGCG
rnacentral:tRNA from 1 species